rnacentral:rRNA from 1 species
CAUGCAGUCGAGGGGCAGCAUCAUCAAAGCUUGCUUUGAUGGAUGGCGACCGGCGCCGGGUGAGUAACACGUAUCCAACCUGCCGACAACACUGGGAUAGCCUUUCGAAAGAAAGAUUAAUACCGGAUGGCAUAAUUAUUCCGCAUGGGAUAAUUAUUAAAGAAUUUCGGUUGUCGAUGGGGAUGCGUUCCAUUAGGCAGUUGGCGGGGUAACGGCCCACCAAACCUACGAUGGAUAGGGGUUCUGAGAGGAAGGUCCCCCACAUUGGAACUGAGACACGGUCCAAACUCCUACGGGAGGCAGCAGUGAGGAAUAUUGGUCAAUGGACGAGAGUCUGAACCAGCCAAGUAGCGUGAAGGAUGACUGCCCUAUGGGUUGUAAACUUCUUUUAUACGGGAAUAAAGUGAGCCACGUGUGGCUUUUUGUAUGUACCGUAUGAAUAAGGAUCGGCUAACUCCGUGCCAGCAGCCGCGGUAAUACGGAGGAUCCGAGCGUUAUCCGGAUUUAUUGGGUUUAAAGGGAGCGUAGGCGGGUUGUUAAGUCAGUUGUGAAAGUUUGCGGCUCAACCGUAAAAUUGCAGUUGAUACUGGCGACCUUGA